rnacentral:rRNA from 1 species
AGCGUUGUUCGGAAUUACUGGGCGUAAAGGGCUCGUAGGCGGCCAACUAAGUCAGACGUGAAAUCCCUCGGCUUAACCGGGGAACUGCGUCUGAUACUGGAUGGCUUGAGAUUGGGAGAGGGAUGCGGAAUUCCAGGUGUAGCGGUGAAAUGCGUAGAUAUCUGGAGGAACACCGGUGGCGAAGGCGACAUCCUGGACCAACACUGACGCUGAGGAGCGAAAGCCAGGGGAGCAAACGGG